GCGGGGCUCCAGAGUCUGUGUCCUUUACAAUUGUACCACACAGCCUCUCUAACUGAGCCUGCUCUGUCUGCAAGGGAGUAAUUAGAUGACUAUAAUAAUGAUGAUAAUAAGCAUCAUAAUAAUAAUUCUAUGACUGGACAAAUACCUUGGUGACAUGAUGGAUUCUGUAGGUAGAUAAUGGCAAAUAAUGGCAAAUUUCUUGGGUGAUCCCAUUUUGGGUGGCCUGAGAGAGACUCCUCCAUUCCCUGGUGCUGUCUGGCCCCUCAUCCAGGUGGUAGAUGAGCUCAAAACACAAAGGCUCCUUACAUCUUUGUGAAAUUUGCUAAAAUUGAUCUUAUUUAUGUAAACCUGACAAUAUACCUGUAGAAUUUACCACAGUUUCCAAUUAUUGACAUCGAAGCUGCCCAAGAUUCUGAAUUCUGGGGUAUUCACCAGAGAACUAUCUUUACUGCACCUAACAAGGUGGAGGGACACAUUAGGAAAGGCACAUGUUCAGUGCAUGGAAUUUGUAGGGUGCUGUGACCCUGAGAAAGAAAGAAAAAGGGAGAGGGGCAACACCCCAAAACAUUGACCCAUGCCUGGCUGCAAGACCAGGAGCUCAAACAGCCAAGCAGCCCCCCCAACACCUCCCUGUGCACUGAUUUCUUCUGGUAGGACCCUAGUGCUUCUGCCUGUUCCUUGUAUCUGUGAAGUGUGCUCUCUGUUCCCCGGGUACUCUCUAGCCCCACACAAGAGCUUGUCUUGUCUAAGUAGUCACCAUUCUUACCUUACCUGUCCUAGAAUUGCCUAAGGAGCUUAAAAAACUUUAAAUGCCAUGGAGCACACCCAGACACUACAAUCUAUAUGUCUAAACAAGACCUGCACAUCUGUAUUUCAUUUCCUCCCAAGUGAUGGCCGUGUGCAGCCAAGGUUGAAAACCACUGGACAAAGCCCUGGUCUGAGAACUCAUGUCUCCAGCAACGUUCAGAAGCCAGGUCCCAUGGAUCACUACUGGAAUAAGAUGGAAUCAGGAAGCCCUGGCCUAUCCAGGACAGAUGAAUCACAUCUACCCUCUGUGAUAGGGAGGAAUUUUCAUGAGACCAACAGCCCACACACUGGAUACUGAAAUAACAACUGGAGGGUCCAGAAAUAUUAAAAGGAGGAACAGAGACAGAGAAGCUUACGAUGGAGGUAUUUGGACAGCCAAGAGGAGCAGAAACACACAGAGUGGAGGAGCAGUGGGA
rnacentral:lncRNA from 1 species